AGUAUUACGCCGGAUGAACGGGAAUCAUUGAUGUUGAUUAUUAUGGGAUGAAUAUCUCUGAUACUAAAGU
rnacentral:tRNA from 1 species